AAACUGAAGAGUUUGAUCAUGGCUCAGAUUGAACGCUGGCGGCAGGCCUAACACAUGCAAGUCGAGCGAGAAAGCACUUCGGUGUGAGUACAGCGGCGGACGGGUGAGUAACGCGUAGGAAUCUACCCAGUAGUGGGGGACAACAGUCGGAAACGGCUGCUAAUACCGCAUACGCGCUACGGGGGAAAGCGGGUGACCUUCGGGCCUCGCGCUAUUUGAUGAGCCUGCGUAAGAUUAGCUAGUUGGUGAGGUAAAGGCUCACCAAGGCGACGAUCUUUAGCUGGUCUGAGAGGAUGAUCAGCCACACUGGAACUGAGACACGGUCCAGACUCCUACGGGAGGCAGCAG
rnacentral:ncRNA from 1 species